CCAUGCAAGUCGAACGGGAUUCAUGCUCAACACCGAGCAAGCGGGAUAGCAGGCAGAGCGUCAAGCGCGAAGCGCUUUACGCGAAAAAAGCUUGCUAACACACCUACCCCCGAUUGUUGGGUGUUGAGCAUGAUGAGAGUGGCGGACGGGCGAGUAACGCGUGAGCAACCUACCCCAUGCAGGGGGAUAACACUCGGAAACGGGUGCUAAUACCGCAUAAGGUCACAUAGUCGCAUGGCUAAGUGAACAAAGCUGAGGCGGCAUGGGAUGGGCUCGCGUCCAAUUAGCUAGUUGGUAGGGCAAAAGCCUACCAAGGCGACGAUUGGUAGCCGAACUGAGAGGUUGGUCGGCCGCAUUGGGACUGAGACACGGCCCAGACUCCUACGGGAGGCAGCAGUGGGGAAUAUUGCGCAAUGGAGGGAACUCUGACGCAGCGACGCCGCGUGAAGGAAGAAGGCCUUCGGGUUGUAAACUUCUUUGAUCGGGGACGAAAAUGACGGUACCCGAGGAACAAGCCACGGCUAACUACGUGCCAGCAGCCGCGGUAAUACGUAGGUGGCGAGCGUUGUCCGGAAUUACUGGGUGUAAAGGGCGUGUAGGCGGGGCGUCAAGUCAGGUGUGAAAUUCCGAGGCCUAACUUCGGGUGUGCAUCUGAAACUGAUGUUCUUGAGUGUCGGAGAGGAAAGUGGAAUUCCCAGUGUAGCGGUGAAAUGCGUAGAGAUUGGGAGGAACACCAGUGGCGAAGGCGGCUUUCUGGACGAUAACUGACGCUGAGGCGCGAAAGCGUGGGUAGCAAACAGGAUUAGAUACCCUGGUAGUCCACGCCGUANACGAUGGAUACUAG
rnacentral:rRNA from 1 species